UCCCCGGUAGUAUAUCGGUUAGUACACCCGCCUGUCAGAGUACAAGCGCGGGAGAGCGGGGUUCGACUCCCCGCCGAGGAG